GGGGCUGUCAUGGUUUCGACAAGUUUAUGUUUGAUUCAAACGGCAGUGGAGUGGUGACCUAAUCACCAAAAAUAAAUAAACGGAAACAAUAGAUUAGCUUUUGCUGCUUAAUAUAUCCUAGAUUGGAUUGCAGCCUCCUGUAAAUAUUUUGUCAUUAGAAUAUUAACAGCGUACUUAUAAUGAAUAAGGUGAAGCCUAGCUUGGUGGUGGAUCACGAAAAACUUUACAAGCAAAUUCGAUUAUUGUUGGCUCACUCCAUUUAAUCGUCUUAUCGAUAGUGAGAUAAACUGUAGAUGUUUGAAUGUGGAACAACUCUUGGACACGGGUUCGACUCCCGUCAGCUCCACCA
rnacentral:tmRNA from 1 species